rnacentral:rRNA from 1 species
UACGUAGGGGGCAAGCGUUGUCCGGAAUUAUUGGGCGUAAAGAGCGCGUAGGCGGUCCGAUAAGUCGGCUGUGAAAGUCAGGGGCUCAACCCUUGAAAGCCGGCCGAUACUGUCGGACUAGAGUCCGGAAGAGGCAAGUGGAAUUCCCGGUGUAGCGGUGAAAUGCGCAGAUAUCGGGAGGAACACCAGUGGCGAAGGCGGGCAUCUGGCCAACACUGACGCUGAUGCGCGAAAGCUAGGGGAGCAAACAGG